GCAGUCGAGCGACAGAUAAGGAGCUUGCUCCUUUGAAGUUAGCGGCGGACGGGUGAGUAACACGUGGGUAACCUACCUAUAAGACUGGAAUAACUUCGGGAAACCGGAGCUAAUGCCGGAUAACAUUUAGAACCGCAUGGUUCUAUAGUGAAAGAUGGUUUUGCUAUCACUUAUAGAUGGACCCGCGCCGUAUUAGCUAGUUGGUAAGGUAACGGCUUACCAAGGCGACGAUACGUAGCCGACCUGAGAGGGUGAUCGGCCACACUGGAACUGAGACACGGUCCAGACUCCUACGGGAGGCAGCAGUAGGGAAUCUUCCGCAAUGGGCGAAAGCCUGACGGAGCAACGCCGCGUGAGUGAUGAAGGUUUUCGGAUCGUAAAACUCUGUUAUUAGGGAAGAACAAAUGCGUAAGUAACUGUGCGCAUCUUGACGGUACCUAAUCAGAAAGCCACGGCUAACUACGUGCCAGCAGCCGCGGUAAUACGUAGGUGGCAAGCGUUAUCCGGAAUUAUUGGGCGUAAAGCGCGCGUAGGCGGUUUCUUAAGUCUGAUGUGAAAGCCCACGGCUCAACCGUGGAGGGUCAUUGGAAACUGGGAAACUUGAGUGCAGAAGAGGAAAGUGGAAUUCCAUGUGUAGCGGUGAAAUGCGCAGAGAUAUGGAG
rnacentral:rRNA from 1 species